rnacentral:lncRNA from 1 species
GUUUGCUGUGCUUCACACAAUCCUGCUCGGGCCGAGCUCCAGCCUUGAACUCAUUAGGGCUGUGUAAGGAGCUUCCUGGCCCCGGCUGCGCAGACGGGACACCGGGAGCGGGGAGCUAUGGGUGUGCUUUUCAUGGACCACGAGAGGAGGUAAAGCAACCUGCUUUGAAGAGUGGAGAGGAAUGUUUUGCCUAGUUUGGAAAACUGGUGACAUGAAAGAUACUUUUGGGCUGUAAGAGGAAGAAAGCUCAGUUAUUUCAGAGCAUGCACCCCCAGUGAACGUGAGUAGACUGUGUGUUCUCAUAAUUUUCCAAAAAGGUUAGUCCUGAGAGCUGACAUUCCUUAAAAGUUAAAG